UACGGGGGGGGCAAGCGUUGUUCGGAAUUACUGGGCGUAAAGGGCCAGUAGGCGGCCAACUAAGUCGGAUGUGAAAUCCCCAGGCUUAACCUGGGAACUGCAUCCGAUACUGGAUGGCUUGAAUUCGGGAGAGGGAUGCAGAAUUCCAGGUGUAGCGGUGAAAUGCGCAGAUAUCGGGAGGAACACCGGUGGCGAAGGCGGUUCUCUGGGCCUGUACUGACGCUGAGGAGCGAAAGCGUGGGGAGCGAACAGG
rnacentral:rRNA from 1 species